rnacentral:rRNA from 1 species
AUGGGAACGCGAAGAACCUUACCUAGACUUGACAUCUCCUGAAUAGUGUAGAGAUACAUGAAGCCCUUCGGGUCGAGAAGACAGGUGGUGCAUAGUUGUCGUCAGCUCGUGUCGUGAGAUGUUGGGUUAAGUACCCGCAACGAGCGCAACCCUUAUUACUAGUUGCUACCAUUAAGUUGAGCACUCUAGUGAGACUACCCGGGUUAACCGGGAGGAAGGCGGGAUGGACGUCAAAUCAUCAUGCCCCUUACUGUCUAGGGCAACACACGUGCUACAAUGGUGAGUACAGAUAGAUGCGAUACCGCAAGGUGGAGCCAAACUCUAAAACUCAUCCCAGUUCGGAUUGUAGGCUGCAACUCGCCUACAUGAAGUUGGAGUUGCUAGUAAUCGCGAAUCAGAAUGUCGCGGUGAAUACGUUCCC